rnacentral:rRNA from 1 species
AUUGAACGCUGGCGGCAUGCCUUACACAUGCAAGUCGAACGGCAGCACGGGAGCAAUCCUGGUGGCGAGUGGCGAACGGGUGAGUAAUGUAUCGGAACGUGCCCAGUUGUGGGGGAUAACUGCUCGAAAGAGCAGCUAAUACCGCAUACGACCUGAGGGUGAAAGCGGGGGAUCGCAAGACCUCGCGCAAUCGGAGCGGCCGAUAUCAGAUUAGGUAGUUGGUGGGGUAAAGGCCCACCAAGCCAACGAUCUGUAGCUGGUCUGAGAGGACGACCAGCCACACUGGGACUGAGAAACGGCCCAGACUCCUACGGGAGGCAGCAGUGGGGAAUUUUGGACAAUGGACCCAAGUCUGAUCCAGCCAUGCCGCGUGCGGGAAGAAGGCCUUCGGGUUGUAAACCGCUUUUGUCAGGGAAGAAACGGCUUUCUCUAAUACAGAGGGCUAAUGACGGUACCUGAAGAAUAAGCACCGGCUAACUACGUGCCAGCCGCCGCCGUAAUAC